CAGGAGCUGGCCCGACGCACUUGCCUUCCUCCUUCGUUUCCCAAGGAAGACGGAGAAGUGUUUCUGCAGGAGAAAGGAGGGUAGAGCCGUGACAGCACUAGUCUCCCUGGAUCCCCAGGAGCAAAGGCAGAGUUCAGACUGGGCCUCUGAGGGCAGGGCCCCUGACCCAGGCCAGCCCCUCGCACUGAGGUCUGCAUCACAAAGAUGUCCCUGUUUUGGUAACGACCUCCUGGGCGGACUCCCGACCUGUUUCCAGUGAUGGCGUGGCUUCAUUCAGCCUGCUGGCCCCUGUGAUAGAGACGAAAACACUGGAAGGAACACUCUCUCUUUCAAGAGAGUUCAUGGUUUCCAGGCUGAGCAUCCUUGUGCCUCCACACUGUUUCCUGCGGGGCUUCUCGGCAAAAUGCAGAUCAGCCCUCUUCUCGGGGAGCAGUGGCUCCCCCAGGGUGAAGAUUUCAACCUCAUCCUGAGUCCUGCUCUCUCCCCUCCGGAGCCGGACUUUGAACUCCCGUCCAAACCCCAGGAGGAGGAUCCUGCUUGGACCCAAAAUCUUUUCCAGCACACGUGCCUCCACGUGAAGCACCGACGGUUUCCGCAAGUGCAGACACCCGCACCAGUACGGCCAGUUCCGGUGUGCUUUCUGGAAGCGGAACACUUCCCGCUGGCCCUGGGCUGCUGCGGCGCAGCAGGUGCCGGACCUCAGCAGGUGCCGGAGCUCUGCAGGUGCCGUGUCCACAAGGACUCCUUGCAAUGCAAGUAACAAAGUCCAAGUCAAGCUGUGUUAGAUACUAGAAGACUUUUAUUGACCCACCUGACUUGAAGAAAAAGUGGGAGGCAGGGAAUGAGGGGGAUGAAAUGUCUCCCGUCGUUGAUGAAUAAAGAUCUUUCACUCUGAAU
ensembl:lncRNA